AGGUGACCAUUGUCGAAAAAGCUGACAGCUCCAGCGUGCUGCCCAGCCCCCUGUCCAUCAGCACCAAAAGCAAAAUGACAUUCCUGUUUGCCAACCUGAAAGACCGUGAUUUCUUGGUGCAGAGGAUCUCUGACUUCCUCCAGAAAACACCAUCCAAGCAGCCAGGCAGUAUCGGGAGCAGGAAAGCCAGUGUUGUGGACCCUAGCACAGAGCCACACACCCGGUACUCCUCACUCCUGCUGGGCCCAUUGCCCAUGAGGAACCUUCUCUGGCUGUCCUUUCUGCAUUGCUGCUGCACUCAGAGCAAAGCCACACUGUGGAGGCCUGUACACUUCGGCUUUGUUCCCAUGACCUUCCCUGCCAGGCGUUCAGGCUGAAGUUCUUGACGGUAGAACUGCAGUAUCACUAUUGUACCAGCAAACUUAACAAGAAUUCCUUAAUAUCAC
rnacentral:misc_RNA from 1 species